rnacentral:rRNA from 1 species
GACGAACGCUGGCGGCGUGCUUAACACAUGCCAGUCGAACGAUGAAGAAAAGAAUCGAAGCUUCGGCAGAAAUUCAUUUCGGAUUAGUGGCAGACGGGUGAGUAACGCGUGAGCAACCUACCUCUUACAAAGGGAUAGCCUCGGGAAACCGGGAUUAAUACCAUAUAACAUUGCGACGAAGCAUUUCGAUGCAAUCAAAGCUAUGGCGGUAAGAGAUGGGCUCGCGUCCCAUUAACCGGAUGGUGAGGUAACGGCUCACCAUAGUGACGAUGGGUAACCGGCCUGAGAGGGUGAACGGUCACACUGGAACUGAGACACGGUCCAGACUCCUACGGGAGGGAGCAGUGGGGAAUAUUGCACAAUGGAGGGAACUCUGAUGCAGCGACGCCGCGUGAGUGAUGAAGGAAUUCGUUUCGUAAAACUCUGUUCUAUGGGAAGAAAAGGACUGUACCAUAGGAGAAAGCUCCGGCUAAAUACGUG